AAGUGAGCAACAUGCAUCACAGGAAAAUGUAAGCAGAAGAUAGAAGUUAAAGAAAAUAAAUCAAAAGAAAAUCUUACAAUCAAAACCACCAAACAAAAACACUGAGUUUUUGAGAGGCUUUGCAAUGGACAAGACAUAGUUGAAGAAACAGUCAGUAAUCUGGAAAGUAUGUCAAUGGAAAUUUCCCGGAGGAAAACAUGAAAAGAAAAAACUACGAACUAUACGGACUAUAUGAUAAAGAGCCUGCAUGGGGCUGUGCUCAAGAACAGAGUGAACAAUCAGAGGCCAUGGGAAGCCAGAGUCUGUGAACUCAGCUCCAGUCCAUUCUUCCACACAACCAUAGCAAAGCUCUGACCCAGAGGACUGGGGUGUUCUCAGAAGGGCUGUCAUCAUGGCCAGCUGGAACUUCUUCUCCUGAAAAAUACAUUAAAUUCCAGACUACAAUGGAAGGUACUGAAAGCAAGCUGUUGACUGCUUGAUGUUGACAUGUGGUUUUUCUGGAAAAACAAAAUAAAAUCAAGAGAUGUGGGGGAAAGAUACAUUGAGGUCACUUUGGUUAAAGUUGACUAAGAUUGGCUGUGAAGAUUUUUUU